CAGCCUCAGCGCGCUCAACCCAACGCCUCUGCUUGGGCCUCAGGCACCUAGGGUGUGUCCUUGGUUCAGGGACACCAUGGACAGCUGGAAAGUCAAGGAAUCCUGUUUCAGUGGCUCCUUUCCCUCAGUUACCGGGCAAGCCGCACUUCACUCAGUUGGGCUGUUCAGGUGCAGGUGCCAGAUUCAUAACGGCCUGAGAGUCCCUAAGUGCCUUCAGGUACCAUUCAUCUUGAGGCUGGAGAAGACAUACCUCGCUCAUCCAGAAGAAUAUUCUCCAUCUGAAAUGAUGGGCAAGAGGACAUUAUCUCACUCUUUUCAUUGAUUCUGAUUUGGCUUUUCCAUUGUUAUUUUUUUUAAUACAGGGUCUCAUUAUGUAUCCCGGGCUAGCUGGGAAUUUGGUAUAUAUACCAGGCUAGCCUCAAAACUUGCAGCAUUCCUCCUGUCCCCCACUCCCAACGGUGCUGGGGUAUAGGCAAGUAUGACCACAUCUGGCUUUCUUUCAUGUAAAGUUGCUAGUUGGAGAAGGUAGUCCACCCAGCAUUCAAACCUAUACUUGGAGGACCCAUACCUAAAUCCUUUGAAUCCCAAAUAAACUGUCUCUGCUCCCCACUGCCUUCUCAAA